GCCAGCACCGAUAGCACGUUGAAUGUACCAGAUCCCCAUGUAUCACUGAAGUUAAGCAACAUUGUGUUCGGUUGAUAUCAGGGGUGACCAUCUCGGCAAUCGCGUGCUGUAGGCU
rnacentral:rRNA from 1 species